GGAGAGAUGGUUCAGCGGUUAAAAACACUGACUGCUCUUCCAGAGGUCCUGAGUUCAAAUCCCAGCCACCACA
rnacentral:tRNA from 1 species